rnacentral:rRNA from 1 species
GCGGCGUGCUUACCUGCAAGUCGAACGAUGAUCCCAGCUUGCUGGGGGAUUAGUGGCGAACGGGUGAGUAACACGUGAGUAACCUGCCCUUAACUCUGGGAUAAGCCUGGGAAACUGGGUCUAAUACCGGAUAUGACUCCUCAUCGCAUGGUGGGGGGUGGAAAGCUUUAUUGUGGUUUUGGAUGGACUCGCGGCCUAUCAGCUUGUUGGUGAGGUAAUGGCUCACCAAGGCGACGACGGGUAGCCGGCCUGAGAGGGUGACCGGCCACACUGGGACUGAGACACGGCCCAGACUCCUACGGGAGGCAGCAGUGGGGAAUAUUGCACAAUGGGCGAAAGCCUGAUGCAGCGACGCCGCGUGAGGGAUGACGGCCUUCGGGUUGUAAACCUCUUUCAGUAGGGAAGAAGCGAAAGUGACGGUACCUGCAGAAGAAGCGCCGGCUAACUACGUGCCAGCAGCCGCGGUAAUACGUAGGGCGCAAGCGUUAUCCGGAAUUAUUGGGCGUAAAGAGCUCGUAGGCGGUUUGUCGCGUCUGCCGUGAAAGUCCGGGGCUCAACUCCGGAUCUGCGGUGGGUACGGGCAGACUAGAGUGAUGUAGGGGAGACUGGAAUUCCUGGUGUAGCGGUG